rnacentral:piRNA from 1 species
UUUGUCACAAUUUUCUUAUUU